rnacentral:rRNA from 1 species
CUUUGCGCCGAAAAUGUAACGGGGCUAAAGCCAUGCACCGAAAUUGCGGGUGUGCAGUUUACUGCACGCGGUAGCGGAGCGUUCUGUAAGUCUGCGAAGGGAUACACCGUGAGGGGUCCUGGAGAUAUCAGAAGUGCGAAUGCUGACAUGAGUAACGAUAAAGAGUGUGAGAAACACUCUCGCCGAAAGUCCAAGGGUUCCUGCUUAAAGCUAAUCUGAGCAGGGUAAGCCGACCCCUAAGGCGAGG